rnacentral:SRP_RNA from 1 species
ACCGUGCACAGUGGCACAUACCUGUAGUCCCAGCUACUUGGGAGGCUGAGGCUAGAGGAUUGCUUGAGUCCAGGAGUUCUGGGCUGUAGUGCAACGUGCCGAUCAGGUGUCUGCACUAAGUUUGACAUCAAUAUGGUGACCUCCCGGGAGUGGGGGACCACCAGGUUGCCUAAGGAGGGGUGAACUGACCGAGGUCGGAAACGGAGCAGGUCAAAACUCCCAUGCUGAUCAGUAGUGGGAUCGCGCCUGUGAAUAGCCACUGCACUCCAGCCUGGGCAACAUAGUGAGACCCUGUCUUA